CACGUAGGGCGCAAGCGUUGUCCGGAAUUAUUGGGCGUAAAGAGCUCGUAGGCGGUUCAGUCAGUCGGGUGUGAAAUCUCCGGGCUCAACUCGGAGGGGCCACCCGAUACUGCUGUGACUCGAGUCCGGUAGGGGAGUGGGGAAUUCCUGGUGUAGCGGUGAAAUGCGCAGAUAUCAGGAGGAACACCGGUGGCGAAGGCGCCACUCUGGGCCGGUACUGACGCUGAGGAGCGAAAGCGUGGGUAGCAAACAGG
rnacentral:rRNA from 1 species